CCUACGGGGGGCUGCAGUGGGGAAUAUUGGACAAUGGGGGCAACCCUGAUCCAGCCAUGCCGCGUGUGUGAAGAAGGCCCUCGGGUUGUAAAGCACUUUCAGUGAGGAAGAACGCCUGGUGGUUAAUACCCAUCAGGAAAGACAUCACUCACAGAAGAAGCACCGGCUAACUCCGUGCCAGCAGCCGCGGUAAUACGGAGGGUGCGAGCGUUAAUCGGAAUUACUGGGCGUAAAGCGCGCGUAGGUGGCUUGAUAAGCCGGUUGUGAAAGCCCCGGGCUCAACCUGGGAACGGCAUCCGGAACUGUCAAGCUAGAGUGCAGGAGAGGAAGGUAGAAUUCCCGGUGUAGCGGUGAAAUGCGUAGAGAUCGGGAGGAAUACCAGUGGCGAAGGCGGCCUACUGGACUGACACUGACACUGAGGUGCGAAAGCGUGGGUAGCAAACAGGAUUAGAUACCCUAGUAGUC
rnacentral:rRNA from 1 species